rnacentral:rRNA from 1 species
CCUACGGGAGGCAGCAGUGAGGAAUAUUGGUCAAUGGUCGGGAGACUGAACCAGCCAAGCCGCGUGAGGGAUGACGGUACAGAGGAUCGUAAACCUCUUUUGUCAGGGAACAAAGGCGGGGACGUGUCCCCGGAUGAGUGUACCUGAAGCACAAGCAUCGGCUAACUCCGUGCCAGCAGCCGCGGUAAUACGGAGGAUGCGAGCGUUAUCCGGAUUUAUUUGGUUUAAAGGGAGCGCAGGUGGUCUGUUACGUCAGCGGUGAAAGUCCGGGGGUCAACCCCCGCCCCGCCGUUGAUACUGGCAGUCUCGAGUUGGAGAGAAGUAUGCGGAAUGCGUGGUGUAGCGGUGAAAUGCAUAGAUAUCGCGCAGAACUCCGAUUGCGAAGGCAGCAUGCCGGCUCCACACUGACGCUGAGGCACGAAAGCGUGGGUAUCGAACAGGAUUAGAUACCCCAGUAGUC